UACGGAGGGGGCUAGCGUUGUUCGGAAUUACUGGGCGUAAAGCGCACGUAGGCGGUUAUUCAAGUCAGAGGUGAAAGCCCAGUGCUCAACACUGGAGCUGCCUUUGAAACUAGAUAGCUUGAAUCCAGGAGAGGUGAGUGGAAUUCCGAGUGUAGAGGUGAAAUUCGUAGAUAUUAGGAAGAACACCGGUGGCGAAGGCGGCCCACUGGAUCGGUACUGACGCUGAGGUGCGAAAGCGUGGGGAGCAAACAGG
rnacentral:rRNA from 1 species